rnacentral:tRNA from 1 species
GGACCUCUAGCUCAGUAUUAAAGCAUUUGACUGCAGAUCAAGAGGUCGCUGGUUCAAACCCGAUCGGACCCU